AGUAGAUCACCAAAUCACAUUCGCCAUCCUGUACCCAAGCAUUAUCCAGCAAUUCCAACCACUGGUGUAUUGCCAGCACCAGCCAUUCAGCCACAAAUCCGCCCGCCAAAUGGUGUUCAACCACUCUUUGUGACUACCCCUGUUGCAGCUCCGAUGCCUUUCCCUGCUCCAGUUCCUAUCCCAUCUGUUUCAACUGGAUGGCCAGCAGCUCCCCUAAGGCAUCCUCCAAAUCGUUUCCCUGUCCCUGUCCC
rnacentral:misc_RNA from 1 species